GCAGAGUACCCAAAUGGUUAGAGCUGCUGCUUUGGGACUCAGCAGGUGUGGGUUCGAAUCCCACCUCCUGCU
rnacentral:tRNA from 1 species